rnacentral:lncRNA from 1 species
CACGUCCGGCUAAGGUGUGUGGUAGAAAUCCUCUAUGCAUAGCCACUACCAUUGCAUGUGUACACGGAAAACUUUCCAACUGAAACCGUCUACAUGUGCACGUGUUAUCAUUCAAGUUCACGAUAUAUUCGAAAUUACGUGCACAUCUCACGGAGAAGCGAAACUAAUCCAGUGGUUCUACAUAUACCUUUUUCGCCACAUCUAGAGUUUUGAAAAGCUUAUCUUCUUGAGCUGGGGUUAGCACACUUGCACAACUCUGUGAUUCCUCACGUCGAUCAUGAAACCCAUUUUGUAGCUUGUCACGAAUGUUCUCAAUCAUUGCGAUAAUUGGUAACUCUCGAUCUUUCUUGAAUAAAACGUUAAGCGACUUUGCAUUGUUCGACGUCAUUAUGUUGUAUCGACGUCCUGAAAAAUGUGAUCGUGCCCAAUGUUCAAUCCCCAUCUCUGUUAUAUACUCUCAUGCAGCAUGCGAUUUACUGUCUAUUUCGACCAUGAACUUUUCAAACUCUUCAAAAAUGUAAGCCUUUAUAGCUCUCCUAAACAACGCAACGAUGUCAUUGCCUCGAUACCUGGUCUUCAAGUUUCCCUGUAUAUGGUACAUAUAAUAACCAUGAUGUGCCUCGAGGAAGAUUUUGGCGAUACCAUUUAUUAUUGACUGCCCUCGAUUGGUUACGAAUGCAAGGUUUUCGACAUCCCCAAUUACUUCCCUCAACUUCGUGAAAAACCAACUCAUCGCUACAUCAUUUUCUCCGUCGACUAUGCCGAACACAAGAGGGUAAAUUUGGAUGUUCGCAUAUUGGCAUGUUGCAAUAAUCAACUUGCCCCCGUAUCUCGCCUUAAGGGUUGUACCGUCGACUAAGAUUAGAGGUCGCAUUGCAUUUCGAAAUCCUUGAACACAUUGUUCAAGGGCUAUAAAGAAAUAUUUGAAGCGAUUAUCGUCAUCAUUCUCAAUAAAAAAUGCCGACCCUAUAUUAAUUCUUUCCAUAUUAUAGCAAUACCUGGCCAAUGUAAAUAAAAAUAAUCAUAAUUUAGAUGAUUUAUUAAAUAUUAAAUGAACAGAAAAAUAAACAAUUCAAUUAAAUAAUUAAUUACAUAUAAAUAAACAAUUGAAAUAAAAUAAUUAAAAAUUAAAAUAACAAAGAAAUAAGCACUUAAACAAUGAAAUACCUGACUAAUUUAGCAUAUAAACUAUGAAAUACCUGACUAAUUUACAUAACUCUCCUCGGUCGAAUCCAUCAAAUAUUCCAAUGCACAUUCUUUAGCCUUCCAAACCUUCUGAUAGCUCAUGACCACCCCGUACUCUCGUCGAACGUCAUUAAUGAUGUUCGAAAGUCUAUAAAUCGUUCGUGAUUCCUGGAACUUGUGCAUUAUUUCUCGACCAAUGAACCAUGAUCGGGCCUGCCUAUGAACAUUUCGAUGAAUACCCGCUUCGUAAGUAUGUUCCCGUACAUACUUACGGAUUACAAAGAAUUCAUUCGUAUCCAUCUUAGUCGCUCGUAAAAGUCAAUGGCAACUGUCGUCAACGCAGAUAAUUGUGUACGUCGACUUGUUUGAUUUCUUCACUUUAAACUCGAAGUUAUGUUUUAAAGCAAUCUGGUGCACAGCUUCUUGCAAUUCUUUCUUUGAUUCGAGUAGUUGCUCGACAUAUACAUCUUCAUCAUCGGGAACUACACGCGAACAAUUAGAGGACCGUGUACUCGAUCCGGCCUGUGAGCUUCCACUAGACUCAUGUCUCCUACGGGGUAAAGCAAUCAAAUCUUCGUUUGUAAAUGCGUUUUCAUUCUCGUUAUCUUCAAUUAUCGAUGGAAUUCUGUGUGUAACAUUGUGAUUAUGGUGAGUAGCAAUGGUCUCGGGAAUAACCACAUCAUAUUCACGAACAAUCUUAAUUGUAUUCCAAACAUCAUUUACAUUACGAUUCUCUUCAUUUGAAACUUCGUGUUCACCAUUGUUGACAUUCUUCCCCAAUAAAGUUACGCAAAUAGGAGUUGACUUUCGGCCUUGAUUCAAUUUAAUUAGAUAUUUCAUUUCCACUUCAGAAGUAACUUUCAUAGGUGGAAUUGGAAUGGUUAAAUGGUUAUGAAACAAAAAUCCCAAUUCCAUAUCGUACUGAGAGGGAUCGACGUUAAGCAUGUUUUGUAUAUCAUGGUACAUUUCUGUAAACAAUGUGCUUAUUGUUAUAAAAAUUGUUUUAACCCCGUCUUCUUCACUUGUCUAUUUUCAUUCCACUAAGCAUUUUCAUUCAUUUGAAAUUCACCGAAGUAACAAAUUAGAACACAUGCUGAUGCCAUAUCUGCCACAAAUUAAAAAUAAGAAUUAAUAUAUAAUUUUUUAAAUUGUUCAUUUCAUAUUUAAUUUAAUUUUAUACUUUAAAUAAUUCAUUGAUUAUUUUAAUUAUUUCAAAAAUAUUUAUUUCAAUCAGUAUUAAAUAUUCAUUAAUAUUUAUUUUAAUAAACAUAUAUUAAAUAUGAACAAAUAAAUUAUAAAAUCUAAAAGGAAAAAAAAAUAACCAACAACCGGCCCGAAUAACUAGGCAGGCUGGAAACAUCCGGCCCAGAUUUUCAAGCUGGUUGUUUUCAUCCUGGAACUUAUGUAGAGUUUUUUUUUCCAUUUUUUAACGAAAUAAUGUUUAAAUAUUUAUUUUACAAACACCUAUAAAUUUUUCCUGUAAAAUAUUUGCAUACAGAGAUGAAUUUUUUUUUGUUUUUGCUAUAAAAGAUUAUAUAUCUGUGUUUAAAUAUUGUAAUAAUUCAUCUGCCUUUGUCAAAAUAAGAUUUAAAGAUUCAAACAGUAAAUUUAACUAAAACAAAAUUAAAAAUACGUAUUUACACUUACCAAUUUCUAGUGCCGACUGUGAGUAUUAUUUUUUUGUUGAACUUUGAUAAUUUUGUGAGAUUUCAAUAUUUUAGCAGAAAGGAAGAAAAAAUUUCUUUUUCACUAUAUUGGAGAAAUUGAUAAGCAAAAUUGAUUUUGAAAUUUUCGUAUGGAAGUGAUUGAAUUUAUUUAAACUUUUAAGGGUAUUAUUGUCUUUUAAAGAAUUAACAUAUUUUUGUAAUUGUGGAACAUAAAUAAGGGCACAAUUGUUUUUUUCAAUACAAGAGGCCAAUGUGGUGAAUGCAAAAAAAAAAUUUGUCGAAGUGCAAAACUUAUUGUUUGACUAAGUCAAUUUGAAAAGUACCCCCACUUUUUCAUAAGGGCAUUUGACCAAAUUUCUUGUUAAAAAAAAAAGAAAAAAAAAAAGAAAUGUAAACAAAAUCUAAAGGGUCGAAAAUACCCUCAUUUGGAAAGAAGAGGAGGAAAAUAGAGAGAAAAAAAAGAGGAGAAAAAAGUUGUCCGGAUCCACGCCGCCUACGGACGACUCGUGUGACAUCCGAAGACUUUAGUAAAUUUUGUGUUGUGAUGAACAUUUUUUUUAGUAAGUUUAUAACGCGUUUUACAUUUUAUGUAACACAAUAAAAAGUUUGUUGAUAAUAUUAUUGCCUUAUGAAAAGAAUUGAAUUAAAAUUUUGCUUUAAAAACCAUGUGGUAAAAUUGAGGAAAUGAAGUGACUACUUUACAUUAAUUACCUUGUCACUCUAGACAUUAAGAUGACACAUGGUAUGGUAGGGUUAGGAUAAGGUGGCUAUCCUACACUUAUCAUUUUGCCACUUUAAAUACUACAAAGCCAAAUGACAUGAUAAGGUAAAGUGUGGCAAAAUAAUGAUUAUGAAAGAAUAAAUUAAUUGCUAAUUUAAUUCUAAAUUACUUUUAUAAAUAGGAGAUAGGGUGAGAAAGAGAAAUGCAUACAACAAAACAAAAGUCAAGUAACUUUACAAAGGUAGCACUUUAAUUGUCUUGCAAUAUUGAAGGUGAGUAGUCUAUAUCUACUUUUAUUCCAAACAUAUUUAUUUCAAUUAUAUUUAUUGGAUUACUUCUUGCUUUUCAAAUCCAUUAUAGAUUCAAGAUUCUACUCAUUGAUAUUGGCAUUGCAUUGGAUAGUGAUUGAUAUUAUUGCUUUUACACCAAAUUGGUGUAAUUGACUAUUGAGCCCAUGUAUUGUUAUUUUCAUAUUGCGCGCACGGGUAAGAAUCAACAUCUAUAAUUGUGGCCCAUUGUUUUUCUUACUUAUUCAAAUUAAAGAAAUAUUAUGGUAUAAAAUUACUUGUCGAAUAAAUAUAUUCACGUUAUUAAUUUUUUUUUUUUUUUUUGUAGAUGAUCACGGUCGAAUACAUUGACUUUACCUCUGGAGAAUGGGCGAUUUCAGAAGAUGGCAAAUAUUGCAUGUUUGUCAAAAAAAUCCACACGUGGAUGACAUAUCCAGAUUUUUUGGGCUUUAACCACUUUGUAGGAGUCCGCUACCACAUCGACUACUUUGAAGUCACCACUAUGAUAUACUUAUUUUCGGAUAGUUUUCCUAGAGAAAUAAUGUGUCCGAGUGGCCUUUGAUGCAUAAAUUUUGGUACAAAUCGGUUAGUUAUUGUAGUAAGAUAUGGUGCUUAGGGCGACUUUUGCAUAGUGCCACUUUUGGUAGGAGAACUUUUGUAAUACAACUUUUGUAUAUCUACUAGUCUCUAUUAUACUUUUGCCAAUAUAACCAAG